rnacentral:rRNA from 1 species
AGCGAACGCUGGCGGCAGGCUUAACACAUGCAAGUCGAGCGGACCUUUCGGGGUCAGCGGCGGACGGGUGAGUAACGCGUGGGAACGUGCCUUCCGGUUCGGAAUAACCCUGGGAAACUAGGGCUAAUACCGGAUACGCCCUUAUGGGGAAAGGUUUACUGCCGGAAGAUCGGCCCGCGUCUGAUUAGCUAGUUGGUGGGGUAACGGCCUACCAAGGCGACGAUCAGUAGCUGGUCUGAGAGGAUGAUCAGCCACACUGGGACUGAGACACGGCCCAGACUCCUACGGGAGGCAGCAGUGGGGAAUAUUGGACAAUGGGCGCAGGCCUGAUCCAGCCAUGCCGCGUGAGUGUUGAAGGCCUUAGGGUUGUAAAGCUCUUUUAUCCGGGACGAUAAUGACGGUACCGGAGGAAUAAGCCCCGGCUAACUUCGUG